rnacentral:rRNA from 1 species
AGUGAACGCUGGCGGUAGGCCUAACACAUGCAAGUCGAACGGCAGCACAGUAAGAGCUUGCUCUUACGGGUGGCGAGUGGCGGACGGGUGAGGAAUACAUCGGAAUCUACUUUUUCGUGGGGGAUAACGUAGGGAAACUUACGCUAAUACCGCAUACGACCUACGGGUGAAAGCAGGGGAUCUUCGGACCUUGCGCGAUUGAAUGAGCCGAUGUCGGAUUAGCUAGUUGGCGGGGUAAAGGCCCACCAAGGCGACGACCCGUAGCUGGUCUGAGAGGAUGAUCAGCCACACUGGAACUGAGACACGGUCCAGACUCCUACGGGAGGCAGCAGUGGGGAAUAUUGGACAAUGGGCGCAAGCCUGAUCCAGCCAUACCGCGUGGGUGAAGAAGGCCUUCGGGUUGUAAAGCCCUUUUGUUGGGAAAGAAGAGCAGCAGGUUAAUACCCCGCUGUUCUGACGGUACCCAAAGAAUAAGCACCGGCUAACUUCGUG